GUAUUGAUUGCGUGUUAUCGCAAAAAUGGGGGUCAUUCUACACUUUUAAAAUAGGGGUUUGUGUGAAAACGCAAGCCCCCCCUCUGAACGAGCCAGAAGGGGGACCCACGCGGUGGUGCACAGGGUGAGAUGGAUUGUUUGAAAAUGCUCGGGCGUGCACGACCAAAAGUCAGCGACAGCCCUUGCACCUCAGUUUUACAAUAAUGAUCCUUCCGCAGGUUCACCUACGGAAA
rnacentral:misc_RNA from 1 species